rnacentral:rRNA from 1 species
AGCGAACGCUGGCGGCAGGCUUAACACAUGCAAGUCGAGCGGGCGUAGCAAUACGUCAGCGGCAGACGGGUGAGUAACGCGUGGGAACGUACCUUUUGGUUUGGAACAACACAGGGAAACUUGUGAUAAUACCGGAUAAGCACUUACGGGGAAAGAUAUAUCGCCGAAAGAUAGGCCCGAGUCUGAUAAGCUAGUUGGUGAGGUAACGGCUCACCAAGGCGACGAUCAGUAGCUGGUCUGGUGAGGAUGAGCAGCCACAUUGGGACUGAGACACGGCCCAAACUCCUACGGGAGGCAGCAGUGGGGAAUAUUGGACAAUGGGCGCAAGCCUGAUCCAGCCAUGCCGCGUGAGUGAUGAAGGCCCUAGGGUUGUAAAGCUCUUUUGUGCGGGAAGAUAAUGACGGUACCGCAAGAAUAAGCCCCGGCUAACUUCGUGCCAGCAGCCGCCGUAACAC